AGCAGCCGCGGUAAUUCCAGCUCCAAUAGCGUAUAUUAAAGUUGUUGCAGUUAAAAAGCUCGUAGUUGGAUUUCGGGAUCAAUACGUUGGUCGUGCUUUCGGGUACGUACUGGCGUCAUUGGUUUCUCUCUUCUGACGAACCAUGAUGUCAUUAGUUUGGUGUUAUGGGGAGUUAGGACUGUUACUUUGAAAAAAUUAGAGUGUUUAAAGCAAGCUAACGCUUGAAUACAUUAGCAUGGAAUAAUGAAAUAGGACGUUCGAUCCUAUUUUGUUGGUUUCUAGGAUUGACGUAAUGAUUAAUAGGGAUAGUUGGGGGCAUUAGUAUUCAAUUGUCAGAGGUGAAAUUCUUGGAUUUAUUGAAGACUAACUACUGCGAAAGCAUUUGCCAAGGAUGCUUUCAUUAAUCAAGAACGAAAGUUAGGGGAUCGAAGACGAUCAGAUACCGUCGUAGUCUUAACCAUAAACUAUGCCGACUAGGGAUCGGAUGAUGUAAUUUUUAAUGA
rnacentral:rRNA from 1 species